rnacentral:rRNA from 1 species
GUUCGGACUGUAGUCUGCAACCCGACUACACGAAGCUGGAAUCGCUAGUAAUCGCGGAUCAGAAUGCCGCGGUGAAUACGUUCCCGGGUCUUGUACACACCGCCCGUCACACCAUGGGAGUCAGUAACGCCCGAAGUCAGUGACCCAACCGAAAGGGAGGAGCUGCCGAAGGCGGGACGGAUGACUGGGGUGAAGUCGUAACAAGGUACC